rnacentral:lncRNA from 1 species
GACUGGCUCUGCCAGGACCCCAUUCCCCCCUCAGGAUACUGAUUGACCCUGCCAGGACCCCGUCUCCCCUCAGGACCCCAGUUUACCCUUUUAGACCCUCAUUUACCCUUCCAUAGAUCCCCGGAGCGCAUUAACCCCGCCCAAAGGCUGCCCUGAGCCUUUCAGGACCCCAUUUCCCCUCCUAAGAUCCCAUUUCCCCUUCCAGGACCUGAUCCCCUCCUAGCCCCGCCCAUCUCUCCCAGAGGCGCCCUCCCAUUGGUCGGAGGGGGAGGCGGGAUCCGGGAGCCGCCGCCUCUGAUUGGCUGAGGAGGGAGCGCGGGAAAGCGGCGGCGGGGGCGCCUUCCCGGCGUGCACCGCGCGGGAGAACUGGGAGAGACUGGGAGGGGAACUGGAAGGUCCCUGGGGGCGGAGCUUGAGGCAGAAAGGGGGCGUGUCCAUGAAUUGGAGGUGGAGCUGAAAGCACUGAAGGGGCGGAGCCAGCACCUGGAGGUGGAGCUUGAAGCAGAAAAGGGGCGGAGCCAACGGCUGGAGGCAGAACUUAAGACAGAAAGGGGGCGGGGCCAAGCGCUGAGGGUGGAACUCGAUGCCCUGAGGGGGCGUGGCCAGCGAUUGGAGGCAGAGCUGGAUGCAGAAAAGGGGCGGAGCCAAAUCCUGGAGAUGGAGCUGGAGACCCUCAGGGGGCGGGGCCUCAGCCCAGAGGGGGCGGAGCCAAGCCCGGAGCAGGUGAGGCCUCGAUGCUCCCAGUUACCCCCAGUGCUCCCAGUAACUCCCAGUGCUCCCAGUUACCCCCAGUGCUCCCAGUAACUCCCAGUCUCACCUGUCCCAGGUGUUCUGGAUUUGUCUCAGGGGCAGGAGCCACCCCAGGAGGGGCCAGGGACACCUGGGGGGACAAUGGGGAUAUUUGGGGGCACUUGGGGACACACCUGAACACACCUGGGGACACUGGGGACACACCUGGGGAUGUUGGGGACACACCCUGAGGUGCCCCAGGUGUGUUUGGGGUGUCUCACGUACACUGGAGGUGGUUCA